UACAGAGGGUGCAAGCGUUGUUCGGAAUUAUUGGGCGUAAAGGGCGCGUAGGCGGUGCGGUAAGUCCGCAGUGAAAUCUCUGGGCUCAACUCAGAGUCUGCUGUGGAAACUGCCGUGCUCGAGUGUGGGAGAGGUGAGUGGAAUUCCCGGUGUAGCGGUGAAACGCGUAGAUAUCGGGAGGAACACCUGUGGCGAAAGCGGCUCACUGGACCACAACUGACGCUGAGGCGCGAAAGCUAGGGGAGCAAACAGG
rnacentral:rRNA from 1 species